rnacentral:rRNA from 1 species
AAUGAACGCUGGCGGCGCGCCUAAUACAUGCAAGUCGAGCGAGAAGACGUAGCAAUACGUUUGUAAAGCGGCGAACGGGUGAGGAAUACAUGGGUAACCUACCCUCGAGUGGGGAAUAACUAGCCGAAAGGUUAGCUAAUACCGCGUACGCUCCUUGGACUUCGGUUCAGGGAGGAAAGCGAUACCGUGGGUAUCGCGCUCUUGGUUGGGCUCAUGUCCUAUCAGCUUGUUGGGAGGUAACGGCUCACCAAGGCUUCGACGGGUAGCUGGUCUGAGAGGACGAUCAGCCACACUGGCACUGCGACACGGGCCAGACUCCUACGGGAGGCAGCAGUAAGGAAUAUUGCGCAAUGGGCGAAAGCCUGACGCAGCGACGCCGC